rnacentral:rRNA from 1 species
AGUAAUGUCUGGGAAACUGCCUGAUGGAGGGGGAUAACUACUGGAAACGGUAGCUAAUACCGCAUAACGUCGCAAGACCAAAGAGGGGGACCUUCGGGCCUCUUGCCAUCGGAUGUGCCCAGAUGGGAUUAGCUAGUAGGUGGGGUAACGGCUCACCUAGGCGACGAUCCCUAGCUGGUCUGAGAGGAUGACCAGCCACACUGGAACUGAGACACGGUCCAGACUCCUACGGGAGGCAGCAGUGGGGAAUAUUGCACAAUGGGCGCAAGCCUGAUGCAGCCAUGCCGCGUGUAUGAAGAAGGCCUUCGGGUUGUAAAGUACUUUCAGCGGGGAGGAAGGCGUUAAGGUUAAUAACCUUGUCGAUUGACGUUACCCGCAGAAGAAGCACCGGCUAACUCCGUGCCAGCAGCCGCGGUAAUACGGAGGGUGCAAGCGUUAAUCGGAAUUACUGGGCGUAAAGCGCACGCAGGCGGUCUGUCAAGUCGGAUGUGAAAUCCCCGGGCUCAACCUGGGAACUGCAUUCGAAACUGGCAGGCUAGAGUC